rnacentral:misc_RNA from 1 species
UUCACUUCCCAAUAAAUUAGCCUUCAACUAGAAAACAAAAUAUAAUAAAUUCAAAGAAAUGGGGGAGACCGAGACUACAAGUUCAUGAAAACAAAUUUUAUGUUCUUUUCUUUUCUUUCUUUGAGUCUCCAUCUUGGUAUUAAAAUUGCAGCAAAAUUCACAAGACCAACAAGUUAAAACCUCUGUUACUCGCACACAAUCUUAUGCAAACAUAAAGAG